rnacentral:lncRNA from 1 species
UCCUUUUGCCUAUAGGAAGAAGACUACAGGGGGCCAGCCCAGCAGUGUAGUGGUUAAGACUGCACAUUCCAAGUCAGCUGUGGGGGGGGUUCCUGGGUUCAGACCUACGCACUGCUCGUCAAGCCAUGCUGUGGCGGCGUCCCACAUAGAAGAACUAAAAGAACCUACAACUAGGAUAUACAACUAUGUACUGGGGGACUUUGAGGAGAAAAAGAAAAAAAGAGAGGAAGAUUGGCAACAGAUGUCGCCAGCUCAGGGCCAAUCUUCCUCACCAAAAACAAAAUGACAUUAGACUUGAAUAAGUGGAGAUACAGAAUGUCCGUGGAUAGGAAGACAACUUUCUUCCUCCAAAUUAAUCUAUAAACUCAAUGUAAUUCCAGUAAAAAUCCUAACAUAAUUUUUCAAUGGUACUUGACAAUUUAAUCCUCAAACUCAUAGAAAAAGCCAGGGCUCAAAAUCAGUAAAAACUAUUUUGAAAAACAGGUAAGGAGUGGGCAGAGGAGACUUGCCCUACCAGAUAUCAAGAUGUGAAAGCCAUGGUAUUGACGGUAUAGUCUCAGCACAGGAAAGACAGAAAGGAAUCAAGGAACAGAUCAACACACAAGUGGAAACUGGCUCAAUGACAGAGGCAGCAUUUCAAUCAGUGAGGAAAAGUUGGGCAAUAAACUGUGCUAGGACACGUGGUUAUCCACACGGAAAAUAUUAGAGACUUCACACCAUAAACAAAAAUAAUUCCAAAGUGGAUUAAUAAGCUCAAUUGAAAGGCAAAAUCAUAAAACAUUUAGAGGAAAAUAUUUUUAAGACACUAGGCAGAGAAUUUCUUCAGAAAGACAGAAAAGCUACAACUCAUAGAUUCAAUAAAACUUUUGUAAAACAACAACACACACCCACAACACCAUAAACAAAGUUAAAAGAUAAGCCCCAGACUGAGAAAAGAUAUUAUCAGCCCAACUAUCUCUAAAAUAAUAUGUAUCCGGAAUUUAUUAAGAAUGUUUAAAAAUCAAUGCCAAAAUGCAAAUAACCAAAAAAGCACAUGGGUAAAGGAGCAGAUAGGUAAUUCCCUUCGGAGGAAACAUGGAUCAUAAACUUA